CGCACGGGUGCGUAACACGUGGGUAAUCUGCCUCGAGGUCCGGGAUAACCUUCCGAAAGGUUGGCUAAUACCGGUUAAGCUCACGGUGACUUCGGUCGCUGAGAGAAAAGGGGCCCGAAAGGGUCUCGCCACGAGAUGAGCCCGCGGCCCAUCAGCUAGUUGGUGAGGUAACGGCCCACCAAGGCAACGACGGGUAGCUGGUCUGAGAGGACGAUCAGCCACACUGGAACUGAGACACGGUCCAG
rnacentral:rRNA from 1 species